UCCUUUGAUGGCUUGUCAUCAGGUCCUGCCU
rnacentral:piRNA from 1 species